rnacentral:rRNA from 1 species
AUUGAACGCUGGCGGCAUGCUUUACACAUGCAAGUCGAACGGUAACAGGCCUUCGGGUGCUGACGAGUGGCGAACGGGUGAGUAAUGCAUCGGAACGUACCCAGAGGUGGGAGAUAACGCAGCGAAAGCUGUGCUAAUACCGCAUGUGAUCUGAGGAUGAAAGCGGGGGACCGAGCAGCAAUGUUUGGCCUCGCGCCUUUGGAGCGGCCGAUGUCGGAUUAGCUAGUUGGUGGGGUAAAGGCCUACCAAGGCGACGAUCCGUAGCUGGUCUGAGAGGACGACCAGCCACACUGGGACUGAGACACGGCCCAGACUCCUACGGGAGGCAGCAGUGGGGAAUUUUGGACAAUGGGCUCAAGCCUGAUCCAGCAAUGCCGCGUGCGGGAAGAAGGCCUUCGGGUUGUAAACCGCUUUUGGCAGGAACGAAACGGUGUCCGCUAAUACCGGGCGCUAAUGACGGUACCUGCAGAAUAAGCACCGGCUAACUACGUG